rnacentral:rRNA from 1 species
GAUGAACGCUAGCGAUAGGCUUAACACAUGCAAGUCGAGGGGCAGCAUGGUCUUAGCUUGCUAAGACUGAUGGCGACCGGCGCACGGGUGCGUAACGCGUAUGCAACUUGCCUCACAGAGGGGGAUAACCCGUCGAAAGACUGACUAAUACCGCGUACACUCUAUUUUGGGCAUCCAAGGUAGAGGAAAUGAAAUUCGCUGUGAGAUAGGCAUGCGUCCCAUUAGCUAGUUGGUGAGGUAACGGCUCACCAAGGCGACGAUGGGUAGGGGAACUGAGAGGUUGAACCCCCACACCGGUACUGAGACACGGACCAGACUCCUACGGGAGGCAGCAGUGAGGAAUAUUGGGCAAGGGGCGAGAGCCUGAACCAGCCAAGUCGCGUGAAGGAUGACUGUCUUAUGGAUUGUAAACUUCUUUUGUAGGGGAAUAAAGAGGGGCACGUGCGCCCCAGUGAAUGUACCCUACGAAUAAGCAUCGGCUAACUCCGUG